AUUGAACGCUGGCGGCAGGCUUAACACAUGCAAGUCGAGCGGAGAUGAGGUGCUUGCACCUUAUCUUAGCGGCGGACGGGUGAGUAAUGCUUAGGAAUCUGCCUAUUAGUGGGGGACAACAUUCCGAAAGGAAUGCUAAUACCGCAUACGCCCUACGGGGGAAAGCAGGGGAUCUUCGGACCUUGCGCUAAUAGAUGAGCCUAAGUCGGAUUAGCUAGUUGGUGGGGUAAAGGCCUACCAAGGCGACGAUCUGUAGCGGGUCUGAGAGGAUGAUCCGCCACACUGGGACUGAGACACGGCCCAGACUCCUACGGGAGGCAGCAGUGGGGAAUAUUGGACAAUGGGCGGAAGCCUGAUCCAGCCAUGCCGCGUGUGUGAAGAAGGCCUUUUGGUUGUAAAGCACUUUAAGCGAGGAGGAGGCUCUCUUAGUUAAUACCUAGGAUGAGUGGACGUUACUCGCAGAAUAAGCACCGGCUAACUCUGUGCCAGCCGCCGCGGUAAAAC
rnacentral:rRNA from 1 species